CAGAGGAGGUAGGAGAACCCCUGGGAAUCCAGGAAGCGGGAGGGGGGUCUCUGGAGCUCCGAGGUGCACUGGGUCUGAUAAAUGGACCCACAGACAAUUAGGACAUCCAGUGCCACAACUCAACAGACUGCAGGGUGUGGGUAGAGUUCUGAGAUGCAGCUCGGGCUGAACCACGGCAUGGCUUCCUCUUCACUGGGAGCCCCACCUUGUGCGCUGUGGUUUUCUCACCUGCCUAAACGAGGGGUGGUUUUGUAACUCUGUUGUGCUCUAGAAACCUUCCUGUUUUCCCUUGAAAGCCAAAGAGAUGGUAGCCUCCUGGGCGGUGGCUUCACCUUCUCUCUCCAGGCUCCCAUGAAAGAGGCACAUGGCUCAUUCCUCACUCAUUUCCCAUCUCCCUCUUUGUAAAGUUCUCACCAUGAAGCCCUGGAAGAGCCUCAUGAGCUCCUCACUGAUGGAUCCCACCCAUCCUGCUGUGCUAAAAAGGCUGGCAUCUAUAGACAAAGGGCUUUCUCAGAGGAAAUGGGGUGAAAAGCUCAUGCCAGCCCAGAAAGGAGGUUUGUAGGGGGCAGAAGGGCAUGGAUAAUAAUAGGAUGAUGGCCAGGCCAAGAGGGAACAAGUCAUUAGACAUGAGGAUUAUUUCCCAUAAAUGUCCUGUCUGGCUUGGGGAAAACCACUUGACCAUUCCGUUCCCCCAUGCUAGAAGCAUUAUCUUAGUUGUCUAUUGCUGUGUAAUAAAUUACCCCAAGAGGUCGUGACUUGAAAGAACCAUAUCUGUUUCCUCAAUUUCUGUGGGUUAGGAAUUGGGCUAGGUUCCUUGCUAGGUUCCAUGUGUUAGGGUCUUCCACAGGUUGCAGUCAAGGUGUUGGCUGGGGCUGUGGUCUUAUCACGAGGCUAGACUGGGGAAGGUUCCACAUCCAAGCUCACUUUCAUGGUUGUUGGCAGCAGUCAGUUCUUUGCGGGCUGUUGUCUGGCAGCCAGCCUCACUUCCUUGCCCUGUGGGUCUCUCCAGCAUGGCGGCUUGCUCCAACAAAGCAUGCAAGCCAGAAGGACAAUGACGGUACUGGCAGCAAGGAUGUCACAGUCUUUCAUAACCUAACCAUGGAAGUGACAGCCCAUCACUCUUUCUGCAUACUUUUCUUUAGAAGCACAUCACUAGGUCCAGCCCACACUCAAGGGUAUGCUACCAAGAGGUGGGGAUCAUUGAGGGUCAUCCUUGGAACUUCCUCCCAUGGGCACUAACAGGGCUUCUGGUGGAGUGGGAGGAGUGUGAGUUUGGCCCCAUUUCAGCAGCUCAUUUACUCCAUAAACCUUAUUCUGCAUUCACUGUGCCCAGGGCUGUGCUCACCUGGUUUCAUAGCAGUACUUCUCUUUCAACAAGACACUGAGUUGAUACCCCCAAGAGAAGAAGAUGGAAAGGAUUAUCCUCAGGCUUCCUUGGGCACAUUAUUUAAGCACUAGCUUAUAGCAAGGGAAGUUCACCCUGAUGUCUAACUGCAAUCCCUUGAGCUUAUUUUGAGUUCUUUCCCCUUUAGCCUUACUCCUAGGGGAGUUGGGGAGUCAAUUAUUCCUACUUUUGUCAAAUGGGAAGAUAAAUUGAGGUCCAGAGACGGUGAAAAAGCUGUCCCAGUCACACAGCAUUAAAGCCAGGGCUUCACUGGGCAGGGAGUGCGGGUCUUGGUGUAGCGAUGGACGCUGCUCCCUACAUCCUGGUGUGGAGACCUCACUCCUAGAAGUGGAGAGAUGUCAAGAAAAGAGAUAGGAGUCAGGAGAAGGAGACAGAUAAUCAAGAAAAAGUACUGGGUGAUUCCCAAGUGAUGAGUUUUGCACAGCCUCAGUUACCACCUAGAUAACCAUUUAGGAAAUGGAAAAAGCAGGGUAUGUGUUGGGGUGGGGGUGGAGGGGCAGGCAAAGUGAUCCGAGGCUUUGAACUUGAGGACCCGCGGUUUCCCACCACUUUGGGAGGAUGAGGCAGGAGAAUCACUUGAGGCCAGGAGUUUGAGACCAGCCUGGACAACACAGCAAGAUCCCAUCUCUACAAAAAAUACAAAAUUAGCCAGGCAUGGUGGCAUGUGCCUAUACUCCCAGCUAUGUGGGAGGCAGAGGUGGAAGGAUUGCUUAAGCCCAGGAGUUGGAGGCUGCAGUGAGCUAUGAUUGCACCAUUGCACUCCACCCUGGGCAACAGCAACACCCAACAGACCUGCUGCUGGCUUGUAAGGUCUUCAGCCCUGGAAGUGGGCUGGAUGGGUCUAGGUCCUGGGUGCAGGAGAGUGGGGGCUGGUCUCUGCUGAUCUGUCUUCCACCUGCCUCUACUUCUUAGAUGCUCAGGCUGAGCCCCAGCACCUCCUGGGGUGAUCCCUUUGCCUCCCCCAUGGGACUUCUUUUUUUUUUUUUUUUUUGGAGUCUCACUCUGUUGCCUAGGCUGGAGUGCAAUGGCGUGAUCUCGGCUCACUUAAGCUAUGCCUCCUGGGUUCAAGCAAUUCUGCCUCAGCCUCCCAGGUAGCUGGGAUUACAGGCGCGCACCACCAUGCAUGGCUAAUUUUUGUAUUUUUUAGUAGAGACAGGGUUUCACUAUGUUGGCCAGGCUGGUCUUGAACUCCUGACCUUAAGUGAUCAACCUGCCUCAGCCUCCCAAAGUGCUGGGAUUACAGGCAUGAGCCACUGUGCCCAGUCCCCCGGGGGACUUCUACAAAAUAGGGGCUUCUGGGGGGAGUUGCCAGAUGUCCUGGAGGACUUACUGCUUUGGGGCAAGCUCUCUGCCUUUCUGUUUGACAGUCAUACCACUAAGGAGGACAGACAGAGGGCAAGGGGGCGGCGCAUGUUUGGUUCAGGAGCUGGGCUGUGUGUGUGUCUGCAUCUGUGCAUGUUGUGUUUUGGUUUGUGUGCAUGGCUAUCUUGGGAACUGAGAUCAAAAGACUCAGGCUGUCUUUCUUCUCCCGUGGCUAAAUUGUCCCAUUUGUGCAUGAUUGUCCGUGCCCCCAUCCCCUCCAUUCCUGCCUUUGGGCCAUCUUUUUCCUUUUCCUCUACAAGUGGUCUCUUUUCUUCUGACCUACUCCAAUCACUGGGGUCCCAUCCAUACCCAUCCCCCAGAAAGAAAGUCCAUUUAAAAUUGAACUUUAAAGGCUGGGUGGGGCAGUUCAUGCCUGUAACCCCAGCUUUUGGGAGGCUGAGGUGGAGGAUUGCAUGAGGCCAGGAGUUCGAGACAAGCCUAGAAAACAUAGCAAGACCCCAUCUCUACAAAAAAUAUAAAAAUAGACCAGGCAUGUGUCUGUAGUCCAAGCUACUCCGGAGGCUGAAGCAGGGGGAUUGCUUAGGCAUAGAAGUUGGAGGCUGCAACAAGCUAUAAUCGUGCCACUGUACUCCAGCCUGGGCAACAGAGCAACACCUUGCCAAAAAAAAAAAAAAAUUGAAUUUUAACCAAAAUUAAAUACAGUUAAAAUCUCAAUUCCUUAUUCACACUGACCACAUUUCAAGUGCUCAGUAUCCACAUGUGGCUAGGGUCUACCGUAUCAGACAGCAUAGCACAGAACAUCUCCCUUGGUCUAGAAAGUUCUAUCGGACAGUGCUGGUAGAAGUUUCCACGCUGCUUCUGUCACUUCUCUUUGCUUCCCUCUAGCCCAGGUUUACCAUGGGGAAGUUUGCCCAGCUUCAUGUCCUCCAGUCCUGAGCACAAUUUCAUUGUCUCUUCUCCCCAGAGGUGGGACCUGCAGCACAGUCCCACAACCCAGUCACUGUCACAGUCCACCUACUGCCUUCAUUUUCUAGGGCUCCUAUCACAAAUUACUCUAAACUGGGGGGGUACAGACAACACAAGUUUAUUCCCUUACAGCUUUGGAGGCUAGAAGUCACAAAUCAAGGUUGCUCUUCCCGGAGGCUCUGAGAGAGGCUGUUCCUUGUCCCUCUCCCAGCUCUGGGGGCUGUCAACAGUCCUUGGUAUCCCUCAGCUUGUAGCCACAUUGCUCCCAUCUCUGCCUCCAUCAAAACAUGGCUUUCGCCCCUGCCUGUCUCCGUUGUCUCAAACCUCCCUCUCCUUCUAAGAUCAGUCAUUGCAUUUAGGCGUCACCCUAACUCCAGGAUGAACUUGUUUGAAGAUCCUUAACUUUAUUACACCUGCAAAGACCUUACUUCCUACCGGCAUCACAGGCACCAGGGGUUAGGACCUGAACAUAUCUUCCGGGGGAACACCGUCCAAUCUGCUCCGUGCCAUACCAUAGUAACCUCCUAACCUUUCUCCUGCCUCUACUCUUGCCCCCCUCCAAUCUCAUCUUACACAGCAGCCUAGAGGUUAUCCCGAAACUUGAAUCAGCAUGUCAUUCUCUUGUUUCAAACUCCCUACCCCCACCCCAUUGCUUCCCAUGGCUCUGAGAACAAACCUGAGCCCCUUAAUUUUGCAUGUGCUUUUCUGUUUUUUUUUUUUUGAGACUGAAUUUUUCUCUAUUGCCCAGGCUGGAGUGCAGUGGUGCAAUCUUGGCCCACUGCAACCUCUGCCUCCCUGGUUCAGGCAAUUUUCAUGCCUCAGCCUCCUGAGUAGAUGGGAUUACAGGCACUUGCCACCACUUCUGGCUAAUUUUGUGUUUUUUGUUUUAGUAGAGAUGGGGUUUCACCAUGUUGGCUAGGUUGGUCUCGAACUCCUGACUUCAAGUGAUCUCUCUGCCUCAGCCUCCCAAAGUGCUGGGAUUACAGGCAUGAGCCACCAUGCCAGUGACUUUUCUCUUUAAAAAUGCACUCAGUGUCCAACUCAGUAGCCAUGUGUGGCUAUUUAAAUAAUCUAAAACUAAAUUCAUUAAAUGUAUUUAUUUAUUUUAUUUAUUUUUGAGACAGAAUCUCUGUCACCUAGGCUAGAGUGCACUGGCGUAAUCUUGGCUCACUGCACCCUGCACCUCCCUGGUUCAAGCCAUUCUCCUGCGUCAGUCUCCCUAGUAGCUGGGAUUAUAUGCAUGUGCUACCAUGCCUGGCUAAAUUUUGUAGAGACAUGGUUUUGUCAUGUUGGCCAGGCUGGUCUUGAACUCCUGACCUCAAGUGAUUCCCCUGCCUCAGCCUCCCAAAGUGCUGCAAUUACAGGCAUGAGCCACUGUUCCUGGCUGAUUUAUUUAUUUGUUCUAUUUUUUUUUUUUGAGAUGGAGUUUUACUGUUGUUACCCAGACUGGAGUGCAAUGGCACGAUCUCGGCUCACCACAACUUCCGCCUUCUGGGUUCAAGCAAAUCUCCUGCCUCACCCUCCCAAGUAGCUGGGAUUACAGGCAUACACCACCAUGCACAGCUAAUUUUUGUAUUUUUAGUAGAGACGGGGUUUCACCAUGUUGACCAGGAUGGUCUCGAUCUCUUGACCUUGUGAUCCACCCGCCUCAGCCUUCCAAAGUGCUGGGAUUAUAGAUGUGAGCCAUCGUGCCCGGCCUUAUUUAUUCAUUUAUUUGUUUUGAGACAGUCUUGCUCUGUCACCCAGGAUGGAGUGCAGAGGCAUGAUCUGGGCUCACUGCAACCUCUGCCUCAUGGGUUCAAGCGAUUCUUGUGCCUCAGUCCCCCAAGUAGCUGAGAUUACAGGUGUGCACAACACUCGGCUAACUUUUUUUAUUUUUAGUAGAGACGGCAUUUGCCAUGUCGGCUGGGCUGGUCUGAAACCCCUGACCUCAAGUGAUUUACCCACCUCAGCCUCCCAAAGUUCUGGGAUUACAAGUGUGAGUAAUUUUCACCCAGCCAAAAUUUAAAUUUUAAAGUAAUACAAUUAAAAAUUUAACGUCUCAAUUGCAUGGCCACAUUCAAGUAUUCAUUAGCCUCAUGGGGCUGGUGGGUACCAUAUUGGAUGGUGCAGAUAUAGACCAUUUCCAUCUUCACAGAAAGUUCUGCUCCAUGGCACUGCUGCAGUGUACUUUCUCUCUUGGUUUUCGCAUGUCCAGCUCAGUCUGAUCUUUCUUCUCUGCUCCAAGUCCUCGCCUGGGAGGCUGAGGGAGGAGGGUCACUUGAGUCCAAGAGUUUGAGACUAACCUGGAGGCAAAAAAGAAGAAACCCCAUCCCUAUAAAUUUUUUUUUUUUGAAUAGCCAGGUGUGGUGGUGCAUGCUUGUAGCCUCAGCUGUGCGGGAGGCUGAGACAGGAGGAUCUCUUGAACCCAGAGGUUUGAGGUUGCAGUAUGCUAUGAUGGCACCACUGCACUCCAGCCUGGGUGACAGAGGGAGACCUUGUCUAAAAAAAAAAAAAAAAAAAAAUUAAAAUCGGCCAGGUGCAGUGGCUCACACAUGUAAUCUCAGCAUUUUGGGAGGCUGGCUUAGGCAGAUUGCUUGAACCCAGGAGUUCAAGGCCUCCUGGGAAACAUGGUGAAACCUCAUCUCUACACAAAAAAUAAACUUAGCCGAGUGCAGUUUUGACCACCUCUAGUCCCAGCUACUUGGGAGGCUGAGGCUGGAGGAACGCUUGAGCUGAGGAAGUUGAGGCUGCAGUGAGCUAUGACUGCACCACGGCACUCUGGCCUAGACAGAGUGAGACUCUGUCUCAAAAAGAAAAAAGAAAAAAAGUCCUCAGAAAGUUCUAGAAAAGCAAAGCCUCAGAAGGAGAGGUGUGGGGAAGUAGUACGGGGCAGCCCAGCUUAGCUGACUCUCCAAGGGGCUCCAGACCGUGAAUUGCAUCACGCAGAUGUCUGCACCUGAGACCCUUUGUACCUGAGUCAGCCAGCCAUUGUCUGUGGCCACCGGCAGGGACUCUCUUCCCAGGUGAGGUAGCUGUGAUUGGCGAAGCAACGUAAUUCUCUGGACAAGUGCGGAUCUGUGGGCCUUUAGCAGCCAAAACUGACUCAGCAGCUGGGGACAGUGCCCUGGACAGUAAAGGAGACAAAGCUAGCCCUGUUAUUGUGUCUAUUAAAAAAAAAGUGUGAUAAAGUAGGAGUAGCACAAAAUUUACCGUCAGUGACAUUUAGGACAUUCACGCUGUUAUGCAACCCUCACCACUCUCUAGUUCUAUUGUAGCAGGAAAGGCCGCAAAACAAACCUCUUGAACACCGAACUGGGAAGGAAGGGGUGAUUUAUUCGGCCAGGAACAGCGACCACAGCAUAGUUGCCUAACAGCAGAGCUCCCCUAACAAAGAAAAUCCCUGCCCUUUUAAAGGCUUACAACUCCAGAAAUUACACGUGAAAGGGUCUUGAUCCAUGAAGCAGGUGUGGGGUAUGUGACUUAGGUGGGGGUGUGAUAGUGUUUAAAUAAAAACAAUGCCUUCCAGAAAGAUUCCUCCACACCAUGCCCGUGAUCUGCAGGAGUGCGAUUAAGGGUGGCGCCCUGGUCUGCCAGCCUUUACUUCCAUUGAAAUACACUGUAGAAGUCUAGGGGGAAGGGCUCUUAGAACCCUAAGAGGAUUAAGGGUCUCCCCCCAAAAGGAAACCCGUAUCCAUUAAGCAAUCUUCUACAUUCUCUGCACCCCCUGACCCAUGGAAGUCACCAGUAACUUUUGAUCUGUAUGACUUUGCCUAUUCUGGAUGUUUCUUUUAAUAUAUAUAUAUAUAUAUUUUUGGAGAUGGAGUUUUGCUCUUGUUGCCCAGGCUGGAGUGCAAUGGUGUGACCUUGGCUCACUGCAACCUCUGCCUCCUGGGUUCAAGCGAUUCUCCUGCCUCAGCCUCCCAAGUAGCUGGGAUUACAGGCAUGUACCACCACACCUGGCUAAUUUUUUGUAUUUUUAGUAGAGACAGGGUUUCUCCAUGUUUGUCAGGCUGGUCUCGAACUCCCAACCUCAGAUGAUAUACCCUCCUCAGCCUCCCAAAGUGCUGGGAUUAGAGGCAAGAGCCACUUCGCCUCGCCUGUAUUCUGGAUGUUUCAUGUGAAUGUAAUCAUGCAAUUUUUGUUUUUUUUUGUGUGUGUGUCUGGCUUCCUUUGUUUAGCAUAAUGUUUUUUUGUUGUUUUGUUUUUGAGAUGGAGUCUUGCUCUGUUGCCCAGGCUGGAGCACAAUGGCAUAGUCUUGGUUCACUGCAACCUCCAUCUCCUGGGUUCAAGUGAUUGUCCUGCCUUAACCUCCCAAGUAGCAAGCACUAUAGGCAACCGCUGCCAUGCCCAGCUAAUUUUUGUAUUUUUAGUAGAGACAUGGUUUCACCAUGUUGGCCAGGCUGGUCUCGAACUCCUGACCUCGUGAUCCAUCUACCUCAGCGUCCCAAAGUGCUGGGAUUACAGGCGUGAGCCACCGUGCCUGGCCCGGCAUAAUGGUUUUCAAGGUUCAUCCAUGUUGUCACUAAUAGGUAUUAGUAUUUCAUUCUUUUUUAUUAUAGCUGAAUAAUAUUCCAUUUUGUGGCUUGAUUACAUUGUGCUUAUCCACUCAUCCAUCCAUGGACAUUUGAGCUGCUGCCACCUUUUGGCUAUUGUGAAUGGGGCUGCUGUGAACACUGAUGUACACAUUUUGGUUUGAACACCUGUUUUUCAUUCUUUUGGGUGUACACCCAGGAGCAGAACUGCUGGACUGGAUAGUAAGUCUAUGUCAAACUCACGGAGGAAUCUCCAGAUUGGUUUCCUGUCCUGUUCUAUCAUCCUUAUUUCUUACUUUGUGUACAUUAUCCUUGACAGCUGUCUCAUGUAUUUCCUUGUCUACCUGUUCUGCCUCUACCUUCUCCUGGAGGGCUAAGCCUUGCCUGUCUCUCAGUGCCAGGCACAGUUCCCAGUACACAGUGAGUGCAUCUAACUUGAACAGCUGAAUAACCUGUGUCAGGUUGGGCACAGUGACUCAGGCUUAUAAUCCCAGCAUUUUGGGAGGUCAAGGCAGGUGAACUCCUUGAGGUCAGGAGUUCAAGACCAGCCUCACCAAUUUGGUGAAAGCCCGCCUGUACUAAAAAAAUACAAAAAUUAGCCGGGCAUGGUGGCUCACGCCUGUAAUUCCAGCACUUUGGGAGGCCGAGGCAGGUGGAUCACGAGGUCAAGAGAUCGAGACUAUCCUGAUCAACAUGGUGAAACCCCGUCUCUACUAAAAAUACAAAAAAUUAGCUGGGCAUGGUGGUGUGUGUCUGUAAUCCCAGCUACUCGGGAGGCUGAGGCAGGAGAAUUGCUUGAACCCAGGAGGUGGAGGUUGUGGUGAGCCGAGGUCGCGCCAUUGCACUCCAGCCUGGGUAAGGAGCGAAACUCCGUCUCAAAAAAAAAAACAAAAAAAUACAAAAAUUAGUUGAACAUUGUGGUGUGUGCCUGUAAUACUAGCUACUCAGGAGGCUGAGGCAGAGGCUGAAGUGAGCUGAGAUCAUGCCACUGCAUUCCAGUCUGGGUGACAGAGCGAGACUGUCUCAAACAAUAAUAAACAGCUUUCCCAGGUGACUGCCGAAGAUGACAGAGGUGCGGGUCCUGGUGCUCCACGGCCGCGGCCGUCUCCUGGGCCGCCUGUAGACAUCGUGGCUAAGCAGGCACUCCUGGGCUGGAAGGCAGUGGUCUUAUGCUGUGAGGGCCUCAAUAUUUCUGGCAAUUUCUAUAAAAACAAGUUGAAGUGCUGGCUUUCCUCCACAAGCGGAUGAACACCAACUCUUCCUGAGGUCCCCAGCCGCAUCUUCCGGCGGACGGUGCAAGGCGUGCUGCCCCACAAGACCCGUCGAGGCUGGGCCACCCUGGACCACCUCGGGGUGUUUGACGGCGUCCCACCGCCCUACGACAAGAAAAAGCGGAUGGCGGUUCCCACUGCCCUCAUGGUCGUGUGACUGAAGCCUACAAGGAAGUUGGCCUAUCUGGGACGCCUGGCUCAGGAGAUUGGCCGGAAGUUCCAGGCAGUGACAGCCACCCUGGAGGAGAAGAGGAAGGAGAAAGCCAAGAUCCACGACCAGAAGAAAAAACAGCUCAUGAGGCUAUGGAAACAGGCCGAGAAGGACGUGGAGAAGAAAACCGACAAAUACACAGAGGUCCUCAAGACCCACCGACUCUGGUCUGAGCCCAGUAAAGACUCUUACUUCCUCAUGCUUGGCCUGACCUGCCCUUCCUCCAUCAUCAGGAACGUGCGGGACCCAGGGGCAGGCAGCAGCGUUGAGGUGCCACAGGCAGCCUGGGACAUAGGAAGCUGGGAGCAAGGAAAGGGUCUUCGUCACUGCUUUCUGAGGUUACUUGAAAGCACUCGGAGAAUUCUGUAGGUAUAAUUUAUCUGUGAUCAGUAGGAAGAGCAACCAGUUACUAUUAGCAAAAGGGAGCCGGAAGACAAGUUGGAGGGGCCCUUCCUUGUGAGUGGUGAGUCUGUUUAACUUUCCACCUGGUCAUAUACUAUACUCUGCAGCUGUUAGAAUAUGCAAGCCAUUGGGGACAGUGUGAGCUUGCUAUUGUACAAAGGGUAUUUAUAGAAGCAUAGACGGGAAAGAUACAUAACCAAGGGGUUACAGGCAUUGCCCAUGCUCCUGACCUGUAUUUUAUAAUCAGAAUCAAAUCAAUUACUUUUAAACAAAAAAAAGGUCAGGCGGAGUGGCUCAUGCCUGUAAUCCUACACUUUGGGAGGCCGAGGUGGGUGGAUCAUGAGGUCAGGAGAUCAAGACCAUCUUGGGCAACAUGGUGAAAUCCCAUCUGUACUAAAAAUACAAAAAUUAGCUGGGUGUGGUGGCGUGUGCCUGUAAUCCCAGCUACUCAGGAGGCUGAGGCAGGAGAAUUGUGAACCUGGGAGAUGGAGGUUGCAAUGAGCUGAGAUUGCACCACAAUACUCCAGCCUGGCAACAGAGCUAGACUCUGUAUAAAAAAUAAAUAAAUAAACAAAAUAAAUAAACGAAUAACCAUAGCUUCUCCU